UACCAGCACCCCGAGUGGUCGGGACGUUUAUUGGGGCCUAAAGCAUCCGUAGCCGGUUCUACAAGUCUUCCGUUAAAUCCAGCUGCUUAACAGAUGGGCUGCGGAAGAUACUAUGGAGCUAGGAGGCGGGAGAGGCAAGCGGUACUCGAUGGGUAGGGGUAAAAUCCGUUGAUCCAUUGAAGACCACCAGUGGCGAAGGCGGCUUGCCAGAACGCGCUCGACGGUGAGGGAUGAAAGCUGGGGGAGCAAACCGG
rnacentral:rRNA from 1 species